rnacentral:rRNA from 1 species
CAAUAGCGUAUAUUAAAGUUGUUGCGGUUAAAAAGCUCGUAGUUGGAUUUCUGCCGAGGACGACCGGUCCGCCCUCUGGGUGAGUAUCUGGCUCGGCCUGGGCAUCUUCUUGGAGAACGUAGCUGCACUUGACUGUGUGGUGCGGUAUCCAGGACUUUUACUUUGAGGAAAUUAGAGUGUUUCAAGCAGGCUUACGCCUUGAAUACAUUAGCAUGGAAUAAUAAGAUAGGACCUCGGUUCUAUUUUGUUGGUUUCUAGAGCUGAGGUAAUGAUUAAUAGGGAUAGUUGGGGGCAUUCGUAUUUAACUGUCAGAGGUGAAAUUCUUGGAUUUGUUGAAGACGGACUACUGCGAAAGCAUUUGCCAAGGAUGUUUUCAUUGA